rnacentral:rRNA from 1 species
CAGCCGCCGCGGUAAUACCGGCGGCCCGAGUGGCGGUCACUAUUAUUGGGCUUAAAGCGUCCGUAGCCGGGUUGGGAAGUCCUCCGGGAAAUCUGGCCGCUUAACGGUCAGAAUGCCGGAGGAUACUCCCAGCCUAGGGAGCGGGAGAGGCCGAGGGGAUUCCCGGAGUAGGGGGGAAAUCCUAUAAUCCCGCGAGGACCACCUGUGGCGAAGGCGCUCGGCUGGAACGCGUCCGACGGUGAGGGACGAAGGCCAGGGGAGCAAACCGGAUUAGAUACCCGGGUAGUCCUGGCUGUAAACGAUGCGGACUUUGUGUCGGACAAGCUAUGAGCUUGUCCGGUGCCGGAGGGAAACCGUUAAGUCCGCCGCCUGGGGAGUACGGCCGCAAGGCUGAAACUUAAAGGAAUUGGCGGG